GCAAAAAUUCUUUAACACAUGAAUUUGUUCAUUCAAUUAUUCGACUUAGAAUGGAAAAAUAAUAUGGCAGCCAACUCAUAGAAAGUUUAAAGGCUAUAAAGCAGAAAGUAAAAAUUAUAUACUUCGAGCACGUCAGCAUGAAGCAGACAAGGCAGCCAUGAAAAGGAUGCAACAACAAAUGGAAGUAGACAAAAGCUCAUCAGAAUCGGAAAAUGACCUCAGAUGAAUGUUAUUAGAGCAUUACACAGUAGACCUUGAUGAAGUAGAGAAUUACAUAAAUCGUAAAGAGCACUGAGGUUUGACUGAUUUUUUGAAGUUUAUAAACAUGUAUUUGCUUCAGUGUAGUAAACUGUUUUUGAAACUUUCCUGUUUUUAUAAAUUUUUUUCUUAUCCAAAUGCUUUCAAAGUUCAAGCCUUUUUAAAUUUUCAAUUCAGGGAUGCAUCAGUCUGAAUAAUUGAGAAAAAGACUGCCCAAAUUGGAGAAAGUUUCUGUUGCAAAGCAGACUAUAAAACAACACCAUAAUUCACUUAUCAAAUUUUUCCUGAUCCUUUUUCAAAGAGUAGUUACAUUAAGAGAACUUGUUGAAAGACAACUGGUUACAUCUUACAACAAGAUAGAAAUAAUAUGGUAUGAGCAAUCUGGUUUCAAAUGGACCGGUCCCUAGUCAAAAUAGUUACCUAAAAGCACAAUACUGUUAAGAACUUUAUUGUCACAUUUCUUUUUUGUUACAUUCGCAAGAUCUAUUACUUAAAGCCAAUCAACUUGAUGACAGGCAGCUUAAAGUACACUUUUGGCUCAUUGUGAAGUGUACAUGUCAAUGAUAGGAAAACACUUUAAUCAACAUUUGUGAUAAUUUUGUGGUGUAGAUAUUGGUAUACUUUCUAGGAAAUUAAAGAGAAGAUCAUUGGGCUUCUUGGCAAUAAAUAAAGUUGCUGCCCUACGAACAAAAACUGGGGGCCCUAAAGAACAGGGUCGCCGUGCUUUUAAUUUGAAAAGGAGUAAAAACUUCAUUAUGCUCGACGACAUAAAAAAAAUUAUACAAAAUAAGACCAGGGAUGACGAUAUACGUAAAAUUAAUCAGAAAAGGCAAAGAAGGCAAAGAAAAGGCAAAGAAGGCAAAAAAAAGGCAAAGAAGGCAAAAAAAGGCAAAGAAGGCAAAAAAAAGGCAAAGAAGG